GGUACUUUUUUUUUUUUUUUUUUUCCCCUUUAUUAUUAUUAUUAUUGCUAGUUUUACAAGCUAGAUUUUUGGCAGGGAAGUCUUUGCUGACUUCCAAGUCUGGGCAACACUGAAAGAACCUAAAAAGGAUUUGUCCUUUUCUUAUCUUUUUGAAUACUAAUAACAACAACAAAGGCUUAAUGCUGAAUACCUGCUUCUAAACCAAUGCUAUCGACACUAUUGCUGUAGGAGAAAAAGGGUUGGGGAAGGAAGUCUCCUCUCUAAAGGAAGACAUCUGGGAAAGAAGUAUCAACAGUUUCAAAGAGAAUUUUUGGGACAAAUACAUGUGUUACCUAUACAAAUAACACAUUUUAAGAAGUCAAGCCCCAAGGAACUGUUAGGUGGAAAUAUAACCCAGAGAUUAACAUUUAUCAUGCUGAGAUUCGGGCAGCACAUCAUCAAGCCCUCCGUGGUCUUCCUGAAGACUGAGCUCUCCUUUGCUCUUGUGAACCGCAAGCCGGUGGUCCCAGGCCGUAUCCUUUUGAGCAGUGCCUUGGCCAUGGGUGCCUGUGUUCUGUGGAGACGCUGAGGAAGGUUGGCAUGCUCUGAAGGCCAGGUAGGAUGUUGCGCGGAUUUAUUCUGAAACCAGGCAGUGGAACGUAAUACGCUUGAUUGGUGUUGCAGAACUGCCGAAAAGGGUUGCUUAGCAACUGUGACCUUACAGGUGAAUUUCUAUUGACCUUUUCACCACAGAAAAUGUAUAAACAACAGGUGCUACUAAAAGCAUUUUAAAGUGUAUCUGAGAGGAUACUGUGUAAAUUUCAUAUUAUGCUAAAUAACACAUCCUGCUUCCCUUUUAAUAACGUCACUUAUUUUUAGAUGUGGUAACUUCUUUAUGGAGGAUUUUCAACUUCUUGUAGCUAAAUGUACACAAUUUGUCAAAUGGCAGCAGAAUUCUCUAUGAAGACUAUUAUUUUUUGGGGGGAACAGAUUGCUUUGAUUAAUUUAGGUAGGAAUGGAUUAAAUAAACCAUCUGUAUAGCAAACACUUUCUGAGGAAAAAUGAAUCCCCAUGUUGUAAGCAAAACUUAGUUUUUAGAAAUUUUAAGGAAACUUGAUUGUGCAAGAUGCUAAAUGCAUCUAUUUAGUUUAUUUUAUAAUGUUGUGUAUUAUUUCAUAGUUAGAACUCUGGCGCUAUGUAACUUGUACUGAUUUCAGUGGCUGGAGGUUGAACUUUUCAGAAAUAUUCAAGACUGAUCAUUUUCACAGAGGUUUAUGGUAAAAAUUUUAGUAGGCACUGUUAAGAAAUGGC
rnacentral:lncRNA from 1 species